rnacentral:rRNA from 1 species
GGCUCAGAUUGAAACGCUGGCGGCAUGCCUUACACAUGCAAGUCGAACGGCAGCGGACCUUCGGGUGCCGGCGAGUGGCGAACGGGUGAGUAAUGCAUCGGAACGUGCCAUUGAGUGGGGGAUAACGUAGCGAAAGUUGCGCUAAUACCGCAUAUUCUGUGAGCAGGAAAGCAGGGGACCGCAAGGCCUUGCGCUCUUUGAGCGGCCGAUGUCAGAUUAGCUAGUUGGUGAGGUAACGGCUUACCAAGGCGACGAUCUGUAGCGGGUCUGAGAGGAUGAUCCGCCACACUGGAACUGAGACACGGUCCAGACUCCUACGGGAGGCAGCAGUGGGGAAUUUUGGACAAUGGGGCAACCCUGAUCCAGCCAUGCCGCGUGAGUGAAGAAGGCCUUCGGGUUGUAAAGCUCUUUCGGCCGGGAAGAAAUCGCAUGGGUUAAUACCCUGUGUGGAUGACGGUACCGGCAUAAGAAGCACCGGCUAACUACGUG